UCAGUAACAAAGAUUCAUCCUUGU
rnacentral:ncRNA from 8 species